rnacentral:rRNA from 1 species
GACAGAGGUGCCGAGCGUUAGGCGGAAUCACUGGGCUUAAAGCGUGUGUAGGCGGACGGGUAAGUACCUUGUGAAAUCCCACGGCUCAACCGUGGAACUGCUGGGUAUACUGCCUGUCUUGAGUCAUCUAGGGGCGAAGCGGAACAAAUGGUGGAGCGGUGAAAUGCGUAGAUAUCAUUUGGAACGCCAUGGUGAAAACAGCUCGCUGGGAUGUACUGACGCUGGAGAACACGAAAGCCAGGGGAGCAAACGGG